rnacentral:rRNA from 1 species
UAUCAAUAAGCGGAGGAAAAGAAACUAACAAGGAUUCCCCUAGUAACUGCGAGUGAAGCGGGAAAAGCUCAAAUUUAAAAUCUGGUGGUCUUUGGCCAUCCGAGUUGUAAUUUAGAGAAGCGUCUUCCGCGCUGGACCGUGCACAAGUCUCCUGGAAUGGAGCGUCAUAGAGGGUGAGAAUCCCGUCUUUGGCAUGGACACACCAGGGCUUUUGUGAUGCGCUCUCGAAGAGUCGAGUUGUUUGGGAAUGCAGCUCAAAAUGGGUGGUGAACUCCAUCUAAAGCUAAAUAUUGGCGAGAGACCGAUAGCGAACAAGUACCGUGAGGGAAAGAUGAAAAGCACUUUGGAAAGAGAGUGAAACAGUACGUGAAAUUGUUGAAAGGGAAACGCUUGAAGUCAGUCACGUCGACCGAGACUCAACCUUGCCUCGGCUUGGUGUACUUCUCGGCUGACGGGUCAGCAUCAAUUUUGCCCCUUGGAUAAUGACGAGGGAAAUGUGACACCUUUAUGGUGUGUUAUAGUCUCUCGUCGCAUGCAAGGGUUGGGAUUGAGGAACUCAGCACGCGCCCUUUGGGUGUCGGGGCUUUGCCCACGAUACGUGCUUAGGAUGUUGGCAUAAUGGCUUUAAACGACC